AUUGAACGCUGGCGGAAUGCUUUACACAUGCAAGUCGAGCGGAGAUGAGGUGCUUGCACCUUAUCUUAGCGGCGGACGGGUGAGUAAUGCUUAGGAAUCUGCCUAUUAGUGGGGGACAACAUUCCGAAAGGAAUGCUAAUACCGCAUACGUCCUACGGGAGAAAGCAGGGGAUCUUCGGACCUUGCGCUAAUAGAUGAGCCUAAGUCGGAUUAGCUAGUUGGUGGGGUAAAGGCCUACCAAGGCGACGAUCUGUAGCGGGUCUGAGAGGAUGAACCGCCACACUGGGACUGAGACACGGCCCAGACUCCUACGGGAGGCAGCAGUGGGGAAUAUUGGACAAUGGGGGGAACCCUGAUCCAGCCAUGCCGCGUGUGUGAAGAAGGCCUUAUGGUUGUAAAGCACUUUAAGCGAGGAGGAGGCUACUGAGACUAAUACUCUUGGAUAGUGGACGUUACUCGCAGAAUAAGCACCGGCUAACUCUGUGCCAGCAGCCGCCGUAACAC
rnacentral:rRNA from 1 species